AUUGAACGCUGGCGGCAGGCUUAACACAUGCAAGUCGAACGAGUGGCGGACGGGUGAGUAAUGCUUGGGAAUCUAGCCUAUGGAGGGGGAUAACUACGGGAAACUGUAGCUAAUACCGCGUACCAUAGGAUGAGCCCAAGUGGGAUUAGGUAGUUGGUGAGGUAAAGGCUCACCAAGCCGACGAUCUCUAGCUGGUCUGAGAGGAUGACAAGCCACGCUGGGACUGAGACACGGCCCAGACUCCUACGGGAGGCAGCGGUGGGGAAUAUUGCGCAAUGGGGGAAACCUGACGAAGCCAUGCCGCGUGAAUGAAGAAGGCCUUCGGGUUGUAAAGUUCUUUCGGUAGCGAGGCGUUAACUACAGAAGAGGCACCGGCUAACUCCGUGCCAGCCGCCGCGGUAAUUC
rnacentral:rRNA from 1 species